AUAAAGAGAUAGAAGAUUGAAGCUUUGCUUACCUCAUACCUCAGCUGGGAUUCCUGAUAUGGGCAACAUUUAUUUUGUAUUAUGCGAGUUUUUUAGUUCCUAGGGUAAGGAAAAGCACACAAGUGAAGAAAACCAUACUGUAAAUCAAGCCAACAGCUUAGCUUGAUUUACCAAACAAUUUGCUCAACACUGAAGGCCUCUUAAUGAGUCCAUUACCAUCUCCCUCCCCAUUCCCUUUUCUACUUCUUUGAUAGACUCUCA
ensembl:misc_RNA